CCAAUUUUUUUCUGUUCUGCUUUUAUUUUAUGCAUAUUGAAUGCUCAUCUUUAUAUAUGAAUGUGUGUUUAUUAUUUCAAUCCUUUUAUUUACAAAUGAAAUUGAAUUGCUUUGUGGAAACCUGGUUCUAAAAACAGAAGUUCAUAAAUAUGUGGAGACCAUUUAGGAGGAUUGUCUUGCAUCUCAUCUUGUUUUCUCUGUUGAUUGUUUUGUGUCUCCAAUUCCUCUAAUUUUCUUGGCGUUCAAAGUCAACCAUGAGUUCUUGAGUUCUCACACUAUCAGAUCGCACCCCAACUAGCAAUUACUACAUGACUUACAUAAGCGUCCUAGCAGGUUGUCUUUUUUUUUUUGCCCUUCACUUUCCUCUCUAUCUUGGAUUUGUUAAACUGUUUUAUGUUGAUGCUAGUUUUAGUGCUUAUUUUGAUCAUGUAUGCCCCUACAGUCUUGCUCCCAAUUGUGGUUAGGAUCUACUUCCCAAAUAUCCUCUAUUUGCUGCAAGUUUUUAUUAUGUGUUUCCCUCUUUUAGAACAGUCAUGGUAAUGGAAACAAAUCGAACCCUAUUAUUGUCAUGCACACUAUAUAUGGAUAUAUAUAUUUUGCCCUAGUAUGAGCGCUGACCUCCCUUGGCUAUCGACCAUGAUGAAUUCUAUACCCGAGAAACCCCUAGAUAUGUGGAGAGAUGUUGGGCAGCCAUUAAAGGACUACAAUGGAAGAAUCUCUUUUAGGGAUAAAGUAAUAGAACCCCCCCUCCCUGAGAUUUUGAUCGUGCAGAUCUUCUCGAGAGGAAUUUGGUGUGGAUCGAGUUUGAGAAUGGCAAUAGGUUUUUGCCUAAGGUAUUUAUAGAAGAUGGUCUUUUCAAUGAUCUCUGCCUUCCAUGGCAAGAUUCACUUGUCAUCAAGCUUCUUGGCAAAGAGAUUGGAUUUUAUCAGUUGAACACAAGAUUAAGAAAUUUAUGGAAGUCGACGGGUGGUUUUGAACUGAUGGACGUUGUCAAUGGCUUCUUUAAGUUUGAUCUUGAAGAGGAUAAAGAGAAAGUUAUCAAUGAAGGCCCUAGGAUGGUGUUUGAUCAUUACUAAGCUGUUAAUCAUUGGUCGGCGGAUUUUGUAUCAUCAUCUGCUAAAUUAAAUCGUACAAUGGUUUGGAUUUGUAUCCCUAGUUUAAACCUAGUAUUUUAUGAUGAGAAUCUCUUGAUGGCCAUGGCAUUAGCCAUUGGUAAGCCCAUUAGGGUAGAUAUGCAUACCUGCAAUGUAGAGAGAUAAAUUUGCAAGAGUUUGUGUUGAGAUUAAGCUCAAUAAACUAGUGGUGGGUAGAAUUUGGAUUAAAGAUUACUGGUAUAAUGUUGAGUACGAAGGACUUCACAUAACAUGUGGGAAGUGUGGAUGCUAUGGCCACCAUGACAGUGAUUGCAAGCUAGUCAAGGAGACCGGACCCACCAUGGUUGAGUCAAAUGCUGCUACUUAAGUGGAGGUGGUGGCCGAGGAAUCAUGCAAGGUGAUGGAAGCCAUGACAGAAUCUAAUCCCAUGAAAGACACGCAAUUGUUCCCGUUACACAUGGUGACUGGUUGGCAGUUACAAGGAAAAAAAAAUCGUGAAUUGAUCACAAAGCUAAGAAUAAGGGGAUUGGUUAUGGAAACGUACACAAUAGAUUUACUGCUUUUAAUAGAGCAGUUGACGUGUAUCCUAAAAUCUUGGAAGUAGCUAGACCAAAAGUUUCAUGUUGGGGAGGGUAAGGGCUCGAAUCCUACUAGAUAUGUGUGGGCUUAGCAGAAAAGGAGAUUUAGGCGAGAUGAACCCACUUUAAUCCACCCCAAGCCUGUUAAUGAUAUUUCUACAUCGAGAAUUAAUAAGGGAGUGCUUGUGGGAGCCCACAACCAUGUUUCCAAGGAGGGGUCGCGAAGAGACAUAAGUAAACCGAUUGUUUUUUCUGCUGGAGGGUAGGGGUGAGCAAAAAAAUCAAAAAAUUGAUUAAACCGAGAAAACCGGAAAAAAAAUAACCGAAAAAAUCAAAUCGUGAAAAAAAACCGAUUAAAUCGAUUAAAAUUUUGAAAAAACUGACCGGUUUGGUUCGGUUUUAUAAGUCUGAAACCGAAAAAACCGAACCGAAUGCAAACCGAAAUAAAACCAAGCCAAACCGGAAAAAAACCGAGUCAAACCGGUUUGAAUCGGUUUUUGUCCUAAAAAACCGAACCGAAACCGGUUGGUUUGAACUGGUUUUGGUUUUUUUUUUUUUUUUAAGUUUUGGUUUGGUUACUUUUUUUUUUUAUAAAAACCGAACCGAACUGAAAAUGAUCACCCCUACCGGAGGGUCUGAUGACGGUAUGACGGGGAGUAUCAAAGGCAAGUAAAUAAUGCAGCACGUGGAAGGGAAUUUGAGUCCAGGUUUUAUUUUAACUUCGAUAGGUGUCAAUGCUCAUACUUCGGCCUUUGUUUUGAAAGACACUCCUCCUGACCUAGAGGUAUUGAGCUUUCUUUUGUUACCCGAACUUCAGAAGGAACUAUGCCAAGGGUUGAGGGCAUGGCUAUGUCCAUUAAUUGUUAAGGUGAUCAGGGGUUUAAUGAGGGGAUGGCUAUUCAGAUGGAUGGUGGGCAGUAACUAUUUUGCUAUACUUUUGCUACUUAUUAUCUAUCUUUUUAUUAUGAAUAUGUUUACAGAUUUUUCUAUAAUCUCAUGGAAUGUUCGUGGUGGUGCUAAAAAGAUAAGAAAACGCCACUGCAAAGAAUUGGUAAGGUAUAGUCCUCCUUUGUUUGUCUUGUUGGAAACGCAUGCCAAUUUUUUGAAGGUCAAGAAUUUUUGGUACAGUAUUAGUUAUACUCCAGUGGCUGUUUCUGAAGCCCAAGGACAUGUCAGUGGCAUAUGGAUUAUAUCUUUUGUUAGCUUGGUCUCCUUUUCAACCUUGGAUAUCACUAGGCAAUGUGUUACCGUUCAGAUUUUUAUGGGAAGCAACUCCUAGUUCUUAUCGGCAGUCUAUGCCUCGCCCAUUCCUAGAGUUCGACUUCAAUGAAACAUCUUCUCAUUCCGAAACUUGAGGAGGUCUCUUCUCCUGUGCCAGGGCUUCACGUUUCUUACAGAUGAUGUCAGAUUGUGAGGUUUCAAAUUUGGGCCACCAGGGCCCUAAUUUUACUUGGCACAAACAUAUUCAUGGGGUUCAUUACUUAGCAAAACGGCUUGACAAAGCACUGGCUUCUUUGGAUUGGCAAACUAGUUUUCCUGAAGCUUAUGUUGAAACUUUUUGCAGAAUUCACUCUGAUCACAACCUGAUUAUUCUACCGUGGGGGAUCGCUAGACUGACUUGUGAAAGAUCUUUUAGGUUUGAGGCAGCCUGGACUACCCUUUCAGAUUAUCAGGAUAUUGUUUGUAGUGCUUAGGAUAGAGGUUGCCAUAAUGUCCUGAAGGGGCUUCAGGAGGUUUGGUAGGAUUCUAUUUCUUUCAAUCAACACACUUUUGGGAAUAUUUUCCACAGAAAAAGAUAGCUUGAAGCUCGGAUUAAUGGUGUCAAGAGGUGUCUUGAGCACUAUACUGAUGAUUCACUUCUUUCUUUAGAAAAAUCUUUACGUCAUGGUUAUGAAGUUUUAGGUUCCAAAAAUCUAGAGAACAGUGGGUUACUCAUGGUGAUAGGAUAUAUAAAGUUCUUUCAAGCUUAGACAACUAUGCGGAGAAGACGGAACAAGAUUAACGGGCUUUUUCUCUCUGAUGGGACUUGGUGCACUGAUGAUUCUAAACUGCAGGAAGAGGCCAUCUAGUUUUAUAAGAAUUUGUUCUGCCCUAAGGUAACUGUUACUGCUCACUUUAUGGAGUCUGUUCCUUUGCCUAUAUUAUCUCCACAAGGAAUCUCUAAUUUAGAGAAACCAGUUUCUAAAAAGGAUGUUUAUGCAGCUCUAAUGAGUAUGAGAUCUUUUAAAUCUUCGGGGAAGGAUGGCUUCCAAACUGUUUUCUUAAAAAAAAUACUAGAAUGUGGUUGGGGAUGACAUCUGGCAUCUGGUUCAAGCUGCUUUUAUUAAUGGAUGUUUUGAUAAAGAUCUGACUAAUACUUUUAUUGUGUUAAUUCUCGAGGAGAGACCCACAAGUUUGAAGUAGUUUCGCCCUAUUAGCCUUAGUAAUGUAGUUUAUAAACUCAUUACUAAGGUGCUAGUGAACAGGCUGUGACCUUAUUUAGAUGAUUUAAUUGGCCCCCUCCAGAGCAGCUUUAGUUCUACUCGGAGUACUGAUAAUGCCUUUGUUGCUCAAGAAGUAAUGCAUCAUAUGCAUCACUUCAAAAGCAAGCGGGGUACUCUGGCAGCAAAGAUUAAUUCUGGGAAAGUCUAUGAUAGGGUGAUACGGGACUUCUUGUAGUCCAUUCUAGAGGAUUUCGGUUUAACUCCUGGUAUAGCCUCUCUAAUUAUGUUCUGUAUGAGGUCUUCCUCCCUCACUCUCUUAUGGAACGAGUCUAAGCUUCACUCAUUUAUUCCUCCUACUUGUGGCCUUAGGCAAGGAGACCAAUUUCUCCUUAUUUGUUUGUUUUUUGUAUGGAGAAAUUGGCGUGUUUAAUUACGAAGAAAGUUUCAGAGAAGAUUUGGCAUCCUAUCCACCUUUUGAGAGGAGGGCCAGGAAGGUGGCUGGAAUACACAGAAAUAAUACGGCUCAGGUGCCCAAGAUAGCAAAUAUGAGCAAAGAUUGUCAUAAUUGGAAGCCAGUGAAAGAGGAGUUCACAUUCCCUGCAAACUCUGCUCCCUUCAAUAGCUGCAAUGCCUCUACCAUUGUUGCAAUUGUCUAAUUGGGUUAAAUAAUUCUCUUCGAAUUCUUACAGUUUGCCUUCAUCAUCAGUAGUUUAAUGUUUUGCUGAUCUGUGCUUUGUGCGGGUUGAUAAAGAUCACCUUUUGGUUGCUUAUUUUGAAGGUCCAAAAGAGGGAGCACAUGAUGUUCAAAUUUGGAUAGAGACAUACAAAGGCUUUCCAAUCCUGCUGCAUAUCUGCCGAUGGGAUUUCUCCCAAAAGGCCCAAUUGUAGUUCUCCAAGGUGGCCAAAAAAUUAUCAAACAGUUGCUUCCGCAGAGAAAGAUGGAAAUUCUUGAACUCAACUCCAUUCAAAUGCAUCAUAUGAGAAGGAACACGGUCUCGAGAUCUUACGAUCUUCCUUCUGCAAAACCAUUCCAAUUCAUAAAUAACAAGUUCUCCAUCUUUUUUGUUUCUGUUCCCCUACCUAUCACAAGGAUCUUGUCCCACAUAUGUCCCAAGCCAGUGAGCAAUAUUAAAACAUUGUUUCAACACAUGAGACUCUUCCUUCCAGUAGUAAUAAACUGCACUUCCUCCGUAGUUUAAGUGACAUCAAUUAACUCACUGUUGGAUUCAAAAGAUUCAUGUAAACAAAGCAGUUUUAGGAAGAUCCUGGACCAAUCCAUUGAUGCCUUCACUUCUUUUAAGCCCUCUUGACUUGCCUUUCUUUAACUGCUGUGAGUUAUUGAUUCAUUGUCAAAGUUCCUCCUCAUGCUCCUAUUGGAUUUUAAGAUUGUUUAUCUCAUAUGGGUGGGUAUCUGCUGUGCAUGAUGGUUACUGGCAAUCGCCUAUCAUUGUUGACGAACAGCCUGAUGUUCCUAUGUGGAACCCUUUACUGUUCAAACUGUCACCAGAGGAGCUACUUUUGUUAUAUAAAUUCGGUCAAGACAAAAGUAAAACUUCCAAUCUCCAUGGUCUUCCAUUUAACUAUUCCUUUUUGUAGUCAAGUUUUCCCAGAUAGUAUGUAUAUGAGUUUGUUGGUUGUUGGUAAAUUCAUAUGUUUUCAUCUAAUUUCAAGAACACAAAAGGCUAUUCUGUUUCGUAUAUCGCAUGGAAUACAGAAUGCUAUACAUUUUUCAA